rnacentral:lncRNA from 1 species
GGAGUUGGAGAGGACUUUUUCUUCGCUAUACUUUAACUAUACUUUUUGAUAAAUUUCAAGUCUGGAUGAAGGAGUUAUAGACAUUUGAAGACAGUACAUGUAAUUCAAAGGCAGUGAGUCAUUUUAUUGAUAGUAAUGGUUGGAGUCAUAUCUUGAGUUUCUUGGCGAAUUUUUUGCUCAAAAUUUCCAUAAGUGUGAUUUAUUGAGUUAAAAAGCUAUAAAUCAAAGUUUCAUGGUAUUAAAAUACUUAUUUUGUGAGAUAUGAAGAAAUUAGCAUGCAGGUGUAUGUAAGACAAGGUUUAAAGCUACUGUUAGGGUUUUGGCGAUAUCUCAAGAUCCGUAAUGAAUUUGAGGU